GAGAGCCUUUGUGAGAAGGGGGUAGGAAAAAAAAGCACUUCAAGAGGAUCUCCUUACCUGGAGAAGGAGUGCUCACCCCCACCAUGGGCAGCAGAGGGAAAGGCAGCAGCUCUUUGAAGCAAAGCUGCUGCCACUGUCAACAAGGAAAAGUGGCAGGAGCAUUAUGGCAUGGCUACUUAGUUGUGAUUAAAGGAUGAUAUGGGAAGUAAAUAAACAGGACUAAAUUAAACUGUUUGAUGUGCACAUGGAGAUGGAGGUCCCUCGAAACAGAUUCUGCAGUGCAACAUCUUCACAUACAGCUGGCACAAGGAGGGUGGCACAGAGUCUGCCCAUCACUCUCCUUUCCAACACCAAUUCCUCCACUGGGGUUCUCAUGAGCUCCCCCCACUCCAGCCACCCAGAGCCAGAAGCUCUCCAUCACACAGCAGAAGCCCUGCCAGCUGGUCAGGACAGCAGGCCCUUCUCUUUCAGCAUUUGAAAAAGAAGAAAGGGAGGGGAGCCACAGCCUCCCAUCUCCAUGGCAGAGCCAGAUUUAAUUAAAAGAAAAAAAAAGAAGAAAAAAAAAGAGUCUUGUAGAAAGUUAAAAGUGGGACUGGUUUGGCCAGCUGAUCCAUCCCUCGCAGCCAGCUGGAGGCAGCGCGGGGUGUGCUCACCCCGAGAGGAGUCAGGCUGUACCGGAGCAAACUGACGUCAGGCAGGAGAAGAGAAAUAUCCUUGGAUUAUCUUCUAUGGAGCAGAGGAAGUCAUGGCAUUGAGGAUUGCAUUGAGACGGGACCAAGCUCAGCUGGUUAGUGGGUUCUCCAGGCACGCUACUGCUCUGCAGCAUCAUCUAUCAAUACCCUCUUGUACUGGCCAUGGCCCGUCGCAACAAACUUGUACUUCUUGCCAGAAGGAGUGGACUUGAUAUUGCUCUCAGGUUUGGGACUACCCUUCUGUUCCCAAAGGCUUCUUUUACUCACGAUGUCUCCAGCCACAAUAUCCUUGCAGGCUGGGGUCUUCACUGCAGAUUGGGCAGCAACCUCUCCAGUCUCCCAUAGGCUUUUUGUGCUGGCUACCAUCAUGCUGGUGGUGGGAAGGUCAAGAGAGGGCUGCCGGACAGGCUUUGGAGCCUUUGUGGAUGUCUCAAUGGCUUGUGUGUAUUGCUCCAGUCUGUCAUCUAUCUUGGACACAGGCAGAGGAGGCUGGGACUUCUUUAUGCUGUUACUUUUCUUUAUUGAACGGUUCAGAGACUCAGUUCUGUCUGUGAUCUUGGUGGAGCACACCGCAGUGUGGUCUGAGCACAGCUCCUCCUCAUCCAGGCUGGUGGGGCUUGGGGCCUUUGGGCGUUUUUCAGGGGUCUCUUCUUCUUCGUUUCUCCUUCUCUUCUUCUCCUCCUGCUUGACUCUUUCUUCCUCCUCCUCAUGCUGCUCUGGGACAUGUUCUUCCUCCUGGCACAGCCUCUCCUCCUCCCUAACAACCACAUUCUCCUCCUGGAUCUCCUCCUGGACCUCUUCCAGGCCCUCCCGGUCCAGCUGAAUCUGCUCCAGUUUGACCUCUGCUUCCCUCACACCACUGUCCUCUUCUUCGUAUGACUGUUGUGGAGAUCUCUGCUUGCGCUGCUCCAGCUUUUGGGACCAGUCGCUGAACCCCUCAUCCUCUUCCAGUUCUGAGUUCCCAGAGGGCUUAAAGUCAUAGUGGUUCUCCUGUGCUGAGCCUGCACUCUCCAUGCAGGAGCCAGUGCCAUUGAAGCCCUCCUCUGCCUGGGAUCUCAGCUGUUUCUCGCGCUCCCGCCGCCGCCUCUCUCGUGCUGCUUCCUCCUCAUCCUCCACGCUCCACUGUGCCGUCAGCCUGAUGAGGUUCUGCAGGCCCUGUUUGCUGGAGUUCCGCCGCAGCACCGCGCUGCUCAUGGUGCCGAGCCCGGCGGCCGGUCCCUGCCCGCACAGCCGCCCGGCGCCGCGCGUCCCCCCGCCCCGUCUUCAGGAAGUUCUGCAGCUGGUUUCCUUUUGUUUCGGCGAGCCCCCCCUGUUCCACCCCCUCGUGUCUCCUCCACCUCCACCUCCUCCUCCUCUGCUCGCUGCAAACGUCAGGGAGAGCUCCGGGAGCGGCGCUGGAUGAGGGCUGGGUGCU
rnacentral:lncRNA from 1 species